rnacentral:tRNA from 1 species
GCCCCUGUGGCUCAGUGGUUAGAGCGUCGGCCCUGUGUGCCGGGGGUGGCGGGUUCAAACCUGGCCUGGGCCU